GACGAACGCUGGCGGCGUGCUUAACACAUGCAAGUCGAACGGAAAGGCCCUGCUUUUGUGGGGUGCUCGAGUGGCGAACGGGUGAGUAACACGUGAGUAACCUGCCCUUGACUUUGGGAUAACUUCAGGAAACUGGGGCUAAUACCGGAUAGGAGCUCCUGCUGCAUGGUGGGGGUUGGAAAGUUUCGGCGGUUGGGGAUGGACUCGCGGCUUAUCAGCUUGUUGGUGGGGUAGUGGCUUACCAAGGCUUUGACGGGUAGCCGGCCUGAGAGGGUGACCGGCCCCAUUGGGAUUGAGAUACGGCCCAGACUCCUACGGGAGGCAGCAGUGGGGAAUAUUGCACAAUGGGCGGAAGCCUGAUGCAGCAACGCCGCGUGCGGGAUGACGGCCUUCGGGUUGUAAACCGAUUUCGCCUGUGACGAAGCGUGAGUGACGGUAAUGGGUAAAGAAGCACCGGCUAACUACGUG
rnacentral:rRNA from 1 species